CACAAACUAAUUACUUUUUUAUUUCCAGAUUUGAAAUCGAUGACGCAAUGGGACCGGGUAUUGCUGGAGCGUUUCAUCAUGCUGACGUGUCUGAUGGAACGAUUUACACAUAGAUGACGUACGAGAUUUGUUAGAAUAGCAACCGUUUGGCUGACGCAAAGGGACCGUCACAUUGACUGUCACUGUUUAGAGGUCAACCAAGGGCAUCGAAUUGUAGUUGGAUGUUAAUAAACAUUUCAAAUUAUUUAAAAGAUUAGAGUUGAGAAAUUGUUUACCAGAAUGAAGAACCCAUUCAAACUAUUGAUCAAUUCAUUUCGUUCAAAGUUUAUGGGGGCUAAGAAUUGGAGCAAGGGAUCAAAGCCGUUAACUUGUGCUUUUGCUCCCAAAUUGUCUAUAAUAUAAUAGUGCAUAGAUUCUCCGAAAAUAAAAACCAUUAUACCAAUCUAAUGAAAGAAUUCAUGAAUUCUUGAAAUUUGUAUAACCAAUCAAUUAUUAUAAAAUAUAUAUUUUUAAAAAUU